AUUGAACGCUGGCGGCAGGCUUAACACAUGCAAGUCGAACGAGUGGCGGACGGGUGAGUAAUGCAUGGGAAUCUGCCUGAUGGAGGGGGAUAACUACGGGAAACGGUAGCUAAUACCGCGUACUCUCGGAUGAACCCAAAUGGGAUUAGCUAGUUGGGGGGGUAAAGGCUCACCAAGCCGACGAUCUCUAGCUGGUCUGAGAGGAUGACCAGCCACACUGGGACUGAGACACGGCCCAGACUCCUACGGGAGGCAGCAGUGGGGAAUAUUGCACAAUGGGCGCAACCCUGACGCAGCCAUGCCGCGUGAAUGAAGAAGGCCUUAGGGUUGUAAAGUUCUUUCGGUGGCGAGGCGUUAACUACAGAAGAAGCACCGGCUAACUCCGUGCCAGCAGCCGCGGUAAUAC
rnacentral:rRNA from 1 species